GAUGACGUGGCGGGGAAAGAUGCUUUCCAGCAACUUGCGUUCACAAAAGUAAUCGACGGGAAUGUCCAGGAUCAGGAAGGACAAUACCAGCGAUUCAGUAAGGGGAUUUGUCGGCGCUCAGUGAUUCGGUUUUGGGUUUAGGGGAUUGUUGUUGGUUGAGCGUUAGGCUCAAUGGGCAGCCGCAGCUAAACCCUAAAACCCAAGUGCUUGCAGUUGCCC
rnacentral:lncRNA from 1 species